rnacentral:rRNA from 1 species
AUUGAACGCUGGCGGCAUGCCUAACACAUGCAAGUCGAGCGGAUGGACGGAGCUUUCUCCUGGAUUCUGCUGCGGACGGGUGAGUAAUGCCUAGGAAUCUGCCUGGUCUUUGGGACUAACAUCCGUUCACGGGCGCUAAUACCACAUCCGUCCUGAUUGUGAACGUGGUGGUUCUUCGGACCUCACGCUUUCAGCUGAGCCUAGGUCGGAUUAGCUAGUUGGUAGGGUAAAGGCUUACCAAGGCGACGAUCCAUAACUGACCUGAGAGGAUGAUCAGUCACACUGGAACUGAGACACGGUCCAGACUCCUACGGGAGGCAGCAGUGGGGAAUAUUGGGCAAUGGGCGAAAGCCUGAUGCAGCAAUGCCGCGUGUGUGAAGAAGGUCUUCGGAUUGUAAAGCACUGUAAGUAGGGAGGAAGGGAAGUAAGUUAAUACCUUGAUGUCUUGACGGUACCAACAGAAUAAGCACCGGCUAACUUCGUG